rfam:Felis catus isolate Cinnamon breed Abyssinian chromosome C1, whole genome shotgun sequence.
GCCUGGGUGGCUCAGUCGGUUGGGCGUCUGACUUCAGCUCAGGUCACGAUCUCGCGGUCCGUGAGUUCGAGCCCCGCGUCGGGCU